AACUUUCAGCAACGGAUCACUUGGCUCUGGCAUCGAUGAAGAACGCAGCGAAAUGCGAUACGUAAUGCGAAUUGCAGAACCCAAAAAAGUGAAUCAUCGAAUCUUUGAACGCACAUUGCGCCCUGUAUCUUUUUACAGGGCAUGCCUAUUCGAGCGUCAUUACAACACUUGAACUUUAUCUGUUUAGUAUUGGGCUUAGCGAAGAUUUGAUUCUCGCUGGUCUUAAAUGCAUUGGCGGUUUUGACAUCUCUCAAAGCAUAGUAAAAAACUAUUCUUGCUUUAAGCGCUGAAAAUUCCACCUAGAAAGUCUUUGAAAGCAAAUCAAGCAUUCAAAAACUUCUUAGUUUGACCUCGGAUUAGGUAGGGAUACCCGCUGAACUUAAGCAUAUCAAUAAGCGGAGGCU
rnacentral:misc_RNA from 1 species